ACCGACAGAAAAAAUCAGAGCAUUGAGCAAUGGAAUUCCCAAAUCAAAGAACCACCAUCACCGUCAUCAUGAUCAGAGGGACGAUGAAGAAAGACAGAGUUACCCGCCACCGGGAACUACGCUGUCUCCCUUUGAUCAACCUCCACCUCCUCCAAGACCUUACCACUAUGGAGAGGAUCAACCUCCACCUCCUCCAAAACCUUACUACUAUCGAGACGAUCAACCUCCACCUCCUCCAAGGCCUUACUACUAUGGAGAGGAUCAACAUCCACCACCACCACCACCUUCCUGCUACAGAGAAGAUCAACCACCACCGAAUUCAUACUACGAAGCAGAUAGACCACCACCGAUCCGUGUGAGCCAUGUGUCCCACUCUUCCCAUGGUUAUGCACCUCCAAGUCCACCCUCCCAAUCCCAAGGGCUUCUCCACCACCAACCACCAGCGCCACCAGUACAGAAUUACGACUACCCAUCGUCACAAGCUACUCCAAGCCCACGGCCUGUUACCGUGCACCAUGUUGCUCAUCAAGUUCACCAUGAAUCCCCUGCUCCUCAGUUUGGAACUGAAACCCAUCACACCUCUCACUUGCCCUCUUCCUCUCCCCACAACUCUUACCUCUCGAACAAGCCCACUUUCAGAAUCUUCUCAAAGGCCGACCCCAAUUUAUCUCUCAGCAUCAGAGAGGGCAAGGUCAUUCUUGCCCGAUACCAACCAACCGAUGACUUCCAGGUCACUAGUCUCUUUCUCUCCGUCCCUCCAUUUGAUUUAUUAUUUCUCCUUGUGUGUGAAUGUUAUUGGAUUUGCUAAUUUCUGGAUUGGAUUGAUUGCAGCGGUGGUAUAAAGACGAGAAGUACAGCACACAAGUGAAGGACGAAGAGCGCUUCCCUUCCUUUGCUCUCAUCAACAAAGCCACUGGCCACGCCCUCAAGCAUUCCAUCGGAGCCACUCAGCCUGUAUGAUUCUUGUUUCCAAAACUUUAUAAUUUGCUGAAUGUUGUUGAAACUUGUCAAGAUUCGCCUUUUUUUAUGGUUCCAUGUAUUUUGUUUGCCAUUGCUAGUAGUAAUAUUGAAGGUCUAGCGGUUGUUUAAUAUGUCACCAUCAAUACCGCACUUGGACACUGUGUGGAAGGAAAUCUUCAGAAUUUCAAAGCCUUUCUCUUUUAAGUUUUUGUUUUUCCUGCCCAACAUUUUUGUCUUUAAUUGGUGUAUGCUUUGCUCUGUGUUUUAGACUUGUAAAAGUACCAAUUUCUAUGCCAAAAAAAAAGAAAUUUAUAAGUGGAAGAAAAAGUUUCUUCACAGUGCCUCCAGUCUUGUGCACAUGCAAAUUAUAUUUCUUGGAUUCUAAAAUCUUUCAUUGCUUGGUGUGGAGCCUAGAGAUGAUAUGAAUUUUAAACCAUCACUACUAAGUCUGUCUUGUUUCAUGUUGCAGGUGCAGCUGAGACCUUAUAAUCCAGAUGUUCUUGAUGAGUCUAUGCUGUGGACUGAGAGUGCGGACUUAGGUGACGGUUUCAGAACUGUUAGGAUGGUUAAUAACAUUCACCUUAAUGUGGAUGCUUUUCAUGGUGACAAGAAAUCUGGGGGUGUUCAUGAUGGCACUACCAUAGUCCUGUGGAAUAAAAAUAAAGGAGAUAACCAGAGAUGGAAGAUUGUACCUCACUGUAAGUUUUCUACAUAUAACUCGAAAAACCAAGCAAUUUCCUUGCAAAUUUUUCAUUAUGCUUACUUGCAUCUUUGGAUUGCUUAACGGUUUUCCCAAGCAAUGUUAUCUCUCAUUAAGUCAUAAGAUUCCUAGUAACUAAUUUCAUUCCCUUUUAAUGAUGCUAAAUGCAGGAUCCUUUUGCAGUAAUGCUGCCAUGAGUUAUUACAACAUCGCAUGCUUAAAAAGGUAUUAAGUUUGGAAGACUCCUCCUAGUUCUCAUGGUGAGGGAUUUGAGUUUGAUGUUUAUGAUGUUUGAAACUAUUGAUGUAUGAUUAAGUGUCAACUACUACAACUGUGGCUCAUACAUAUAAUGUGUUAGCGAAAGCAAAGAGUUGAUUAUGUAUUAUAAUCUAUCGAAAUAAUUAUCUACUGUUUUUGAACAACUUGUUGCAAUGCCUAAAUUUGUUCGCUGUCAUUAUUACUUGUUUCUUUACUUAGGAUGCUUUUAGUUACACCUCGAGGUACCAAUCAUAAAGGCAUAGGUUGAUGUAGCGUGUAAAAGAUAAGUAUUGAAUUCUUGAGGUGCGAUUGCACUUGAUUAUGGAUCAAGUGCAUGUGCUUGGGUUGCCUAAAUCUCUCCUAAACCAAUGGUUCCCAAGGUUCGGUUGAACCACCACAACCAAGGUCUUGUGACUGAAAGAGUUUCCGAGGAACUCAUGCAGACAGAUCAGUGAAGAUACAUGACUCGAGAUGUUAUUGAAAUUUGAUGCUUACCCAUUUAGGUUAGUAAAUUUUUAUAUUUAUGGUUUUAGACUCUGUUUCUUUGGAGGAUUUUAGAGAAGAAAGGAGUACGAAUAGCAUAUAUCCAAGCUAUACAGGAUAUGUAUGAAGGAGCAAAGACUGCCGUAAGAACUCAUGAAGGACAAACCGAAAGCUUUCCCAUAACUGUAGGAUUACAUCAAGGCUCAUCCUUAAGUCCUUACCUUUUUGCGUUGGUAAUGGAUGAGUUAACAGGACAUAUUCAAGAUGAUAUUUCUUGGUGUAUGCUUUUCGCAGACGAUAUAGUGUUGAUAGAUGAAACUCAGGAAGGGGUAAAUGCAAAGCUUAACCUUUGGAGAGAAGUGUUGGAAUCUAAAGGUCUUCGUCUAAGCCGAUCAAAGACAGAAUAUAUGGAGUGCAAGUUCAGUGCAAAUGGAGGCCAAAACGAGUUAGGGGUG
rnacentral:lncRNA from 1 species